rnacentral:rRNA from 1 species
UGGGGAAUUUUGGACAAUGGGGGCAACCCUGAUCCAGCAAUGCCGCGUGUGUGAAGAAGGCCUUCGGGUUGUAAAGCACUUUUGUCCGGGAAGAAAUCGCACCUGAUAAUACCGGGUGUGGAUGACGGUACCGGAAGAAUAAGGACCGGCUAACUACGUGCCAGCAGCCGCGGUAAUACGUAGGGUCCAAGCGUUAAUCGGAAUGACUGGGCGUAAAGCGUGCGCAGGCGGUUGUGCAAGACCGAUGUGAAAUCCCCGGGCUUAACCUGGGAAUUGCAUUGGUGACUGCACGGCUAGAGUGUGUCAGAGGGGGGUAGAAUUCCACGUGUAGCAGUGAAAGGCGUAGAGAUGUGGAGGAAUACCGAUGGCGAAGGCAGCCCCCUGGGAUAACACUGACGCUCAUGCACGAAAGCGUGGGGAGCAAACAGG